AUCGUAACUCCUACGGGAGGCAGCAGUGGGGAAUAUUGCACAAUGGGCGAAAGCCUGAUGCAGCGACGCCGCGUGAGGGAUGACGGCCUUCGGGUUGUAAACCUCUUUCUGCAGGGAAGAAGCGAAAGUGACGGUACCUGCAGAAGAAGCACCGGCUAACUACGUGCCAGCAGCCGCGGUAAUACGUAGGGUGCGAGCGUUGUCCGGAAUUAUUGGGCGUAAAGAGCUUGUAAGCGGUUUGUCGCGUCUGCCGUGAAAAUCCGGGGCUCAACCCCGGUCUUGCGGUGGGUACGGGCAGACUAGAGUGUGGUAGAGGAGACUGGAAUUCCGGUUGUAGCGGUGAAAUGCGCAGAUAUCAGGAGGAACACCGAUGGCGAAGGCAGGUCUCUGGGCCACUACUGACGCUGAGAAGCGAAAGCGUGGGGAGCGAACAGGAUUAGAAACCCUAGUAGUCCUAGAGC
rnacentral:rRNA from 1 species